GAGUUUGAUCCUGGCUCAGAACGAACGCUGGCGGCGUGGAUAAGACAUGCAAGUCGAACGGGAGAAUUGCUAGCUUGCUAAUAAUUCUCUAGCGGCGCACGGGUGAGUAACACGUGAGUAACCUGCCCCCGAGAGCGGGAUAGCCCUGGGAAACUGGGAUUAAUACCGCAUAGUAUCGAAAGAUUAAAGCAGCAAUGCGCUUGGGGAUGGGCUCGCGGCCUAUUAGUUAGUUGGUGAGGUAACGGCUCACCAAGGCGAUGACGGGUAGCCGGUCUGAGAGGAUGUCCGGCCACACUGGAACUGAGACACGGUCCAGACACCUACGGGUGGCAGCAGUCGAGAAUCAUUCACAAUGGGGGAAACCCUGAUGGUGCGACGCCGCGUGGGGGAAUGAAGGUCUUCGGAUUGUAAACCCCUGUCAUGUGGGAGCAAAUUAAAAAGAUAGUACCACAAGAGGAAGAGACGGCUAACUCUGUGCCAGCCGCCGCCGUAAC
rnacentral:rRNA from 1 species